rnacentral:rRNA from 1 species
AUGUAUUUGAGGACAGUCUUCUCUUGGGUUCUGCUACUACUGGUGACACUGCUGUCUCCUUCGGCUAAUGCCUCCAGCAAAGCACUCUAUAUUGUGUAUAUGGGAGAGAAGAAACAUGAUGAUCCGUCCAUGGUCACCGCGUCCCACCAUGACCUACUAACCUCUGUUUUUGGAAGCAAGGAUGAAGCCUUGAAGUCGAUAGUUUACAGUUACAAGCACGGAUUCUCUGGUUUUGCAGCAAUGCUGACCGAUUCUCAAGCCGAGACACUUAUAGAAUUCCCGGAAGUCAUCAGUGUGGAGCCUAACACUUACCACCAAGUGCACACAACUCAGAGCUGGGACUUUCUUGGCCUUGGCUAUGAUAACAACCAACAACAACAAACGGGCCUCCUGAAAAAAGCAAAUUACGGUGAAGAUGUUAUCAUCGGUGUGGUUGAUACAGGCAUAUGGCCUGAAUCACCAAGCUUUGAUGACAAUGGGUAUGGACCGAUACCUGCACGGUGGAAAGGCACGUGCCAAACCGGCGAAGCAUUCAGCGCCAAGAGCUGCAACCGGAAGAUCAUCGGCGCCCGGUGGUACGGCCGUGGCAUCAGCACAGAAGCUCUCGAGAGGGACCUCAUGUCGCCUAGGGACUUCAACGGCCACGGGACGCAUGUUGCAUCGACUAUUGCCGGCUGCCAGGUGGAGGGUGUGGGCUACGGGGGAGGCCUAGCCACUGGUGUGGCGCGUGGCGGGGCGCCGCGCGCGCGUCUGGGCAUCUAUAAGGUGUGCUGGGUGGGUGUGGGCUGCCCCGAUGCGACGGUUCUCGCUGCCAUCGAUGACGCCAUACAAGAUGGCGUGGACGUUCUGUCGAUCUCGCUGGGAGGGGGCGCCGGCCACGAGUACCCAGGGACGUUGCACGCCGUGCUACAGGGGAUCUCUGUCGUGUUCUCCGGCGGGAAUAAUGGCCCUGUGCCGCAGACAGUGUCAAACGCCGUGCCAUGGGUAACCACGGUGGCCGCCAGCACGAUUGACCGAGUUUUCCCCACCCUAAUCUCUCUUGGGAACAAGGAAAAUUUGAUGGGGCAAUCUCUUUACCACGAUACAUCUGUGACCAGCUAUAGUUUUGAAGACCUUAUUUAUGCGCGAAGCUGCUCCGCGGCGUCACUUGUGUCGAGCAACGUCACAGGCAAAGUCGUAUUGUGCUAUGCACCAGCCCCGCCUCGGUUAUCACUCUUUACAGCCAUCAACUUCACCGUGGCAGCCGGCGCCAGGGGGCUAAUCUUCGCGCAGCAUGCCGACAACGACCUUGACACCCUGGACGUGUGCGAUGGUAUCAUGCCUUGCGUGCUUGUUGAUUUCGAGAUCGCUCAACGAAUCCUAUCGUACUGGCGCCUCACAGGGAAUCCGGUGGUGAAAGUGUCCCCUGCCAUGACCGUUGUGGGCAAUAAGGUGUUGUCACCGAGGGUCGCCUCUUUCUCGUCAAGAGGACCUAGCCCCUUGUUCCCUGGCACACUUAAGCCUGACAUAGCUGCACCCGGAGUUAGCAUACUGGCGGCCGUGCGAGGAUCCUACAUGUUACUGUCUGGGACGUCCAUGGCAUGUCCUCAUGUGUCGGCGGUCAUCGGGCUGCUCAAGUCAGUUCACCCUGAUUGGUCGCCUGCAAUGCUCAAGUCCGCUAUCAUCACCACCGCAUCAGUGGUUGAUCGUUUUGGUAUGCCGAUCCAAGCAGAAGGCGCCACAAGGAAGCUUGCCGACCCCUUUGACUUCGGCGGUGGCCAUAUGGACCCAAAUAGGGCUGCCGACCCCGGCCUGGUCUAUGACGUGGACACAGGAGACUACAUCAAGUUUUUAAAGUGCACCCAGCUUGGAUUAUCACUAGACGAAUGCGAGCAAAACCAGCUCCACCUCAAUCUCCCGUCAAUUGUGGUGCCAAACCUCAAGGACUACGUUCUGGUCCGACGCACUGUCAUGAACGUCGGGCCAAUGGAAGUGACUUACCGAGCAGUGGUUGAGGCUCCAGCUGGAGUAGCAUUCUCUGUUGUGCCAUCCGUGAUCAGUUUCACCAAAGGUGGUACCAAAAGCAUGAUGUUCGAAGUGGCUUUCACGGCAAGGCAGAAGGUGCAGGGUGGGUACACCUUCGGGAGCUUGACAUGGCAGUCGGUUGCAACUACCCACUUGGUGAGAAUUCCCAUUGCAGUACGAACCGUGAUACAAGAUUUUGUCGCGGAUACUUCAUAA